UCUCGAGAAUUCUCUGUGUCAACCAUCCUUAUUCGAUGUAUGACUUGCCCCCGGGGUUUCUCCCCUCCCCUGUGUGAUCCUCAGUGGCUUAGCUGUAACCCACGCUCCUCCCUGGGUCCUCGUAAUUGGUAGUGUUCUCUGCUGAGUUAAAUCUUCUUGCUGAGUCUGAUACCUUCUCUUCCAAAGAAAGGAUGCAACAGAGAAAUGAGCAACAGAAACUCCCUGCUAAAGAAAGUGCUCAGACUGCCUGUUGAUUUGGUGUGUGGGAGAUCAGUUCCCAGAUUUAUAAACAAAUGAUGAGGUAAAAGGCAAAGAAAUGGACAGCUGAGUAGCCAUCUAAUAGAUGGACUUAAAAACUGAAUUUAUAAAAGCUGAAGGUGUGAGAGUGCGAGGAGGAAGAAAAAAUGAGCCACGGGAAAACGCUGGAAAGAAGAUUAAAUGGAGAAAAAUAAGAGUGGUUUGUUCUUGUCAAAUGGAAUACAUGAUAGGUGUAUACUUGUUUUCACAAGCAGAUGGUUUCACUUCUUGUAGCAUGUUGUACUGCAAAUUGGAAGUACUUCCAAAUACAGUCAGUGCUGAGAAAAUGCUGGGGUCAUUCACAAGUCAUUAAGUCCUGAGCUGGUGAUACAGCUCCUACACCCUUUUGCAGAGCUCUUACUUCUUUCAGUAGUUGCAGACUUUGUCACACAGUCUGCACAUCCACAAGUGGCAGCAGGACAACUCGAUGUGCCCAGUGACUACCGGAGCAGAGACCAAUCCUGCGGGACCAGUGUGGUGUGGCAACCUUCCCCUUCAAAUGCCAAUUCCUGCCUUACUUAGCAGUUACGACCAUUACUUUCAUACCUCACUCAUGACUAGAUGAGUUCUUCUACAUUUAUAUGUGUUUUUUGUAGCUUUACAGGAUUCCUGCUAUGGUAAUGUCUUGCCAUCUUUAUUGAAUAUAGCAAAUUGCCUUUGUGCCUCUGUUAAUUCAGUGGCCCAGAAGAAAGACUUCAUCCCCUCCAUACCUUCACCAGUGGUAUAAACAAUUAAAUUUCUUUGCAUUUGUCAGACUAUUUGGGGAAAGAAACUUUCAAGGUAAUGCUCAGCUGAUUAAAGAUUAAGUACAAUUUCAUAGCUAUUUCCUGAGAUGAAGUAAACAGAUAGACAAAGGGCUCUUGAGAUAAAGCAGGUGGGAUGUGACAAUCUAAAAGGAAAAAUUCAGUUGUGUCCUGUGGUUCAACAUAUAAAGCACAUGAUUUGAUGGUCCUGAUUUCCCAAAGAGCCUUCUGUUAGGUCUGAUUCUGGCUUUGUUUACCUCUGUUAAGGACGUCAAACCUUUUCUGCGUCCCAAGAAAGAAACAUGGAGGAAUCCCAUUAUUUUUCACAUUUUCCCAUGUGCUUUAUAAACAAACAGCUACAGCCAGGCUGAUAAAUGAAAUGAUAGAGGGGCUGCUUUUUGGUCUGAGGCCAACUGGCAUGGCACAGAUAUAUCCCUCCAGCUGGAUUCUCUGACACCCCCAGAACAGGAUGACUGCACAAAAAUUGCCUGUUGGGGCUCAGCCAACCCCUGAGCUUUAUGCAGGCACUGGGGGGAAGCCUGUGCUGAUAUUGUGACACAGAGCUCACUAAAUGUCAAAAAUUAAAGACAAUUGCAUGCUUUUUGCUUCAGCCUCUACUCUCAGCUUUUUAUUUCCCCCCAAAAAAUAAAGCUAAUUUGGAUGAUUAUUCCCAUUUCAUCCCAAAUACUUCCUUUUCAUUUUAAGAUGUUGCAUAGUAAAAAUUAUAAUGAUUCAGUCUUAGUUCAAGGAUUAAAUACAUUAAAAGAUUUUUUUUUCACCAGAAUUUGUCUUCCUUCCUUGUAUUUUAUGAAAAAAUAUGUAAUUUUUCCCCAAGAAAAGCUUGAACCUGUUACCAGCCAGUCUGCAGAAAUAAUGAAUUCCUAACACAGUAUGACAGUUAUCUUUGCCAAUUAGUCCACCUGAGCGAGUUCAGCUAACAGGUGCAUUUAAGUUCAGUGAGACUGCCUUCAUCACUCAGGGAAGAGGACAGCUAUGUUGGUUUCUGAAUUAGACAUUGGAAAAAACCCAAAAUACCUGGCUCUGUUGCCUAGCUGUCUCUGUGAUUGAAAGCCAGUCCUGCAGAUGCUGGUGCAAAAAGAGUGCCUGUGACUGGGAGUUGCGUGUCUGAACAAAGAAAUGGAAAGCAGUGAAAGAAUCACUAAUCAGUUCCUAUGAACAUUUCUGAUUUUAAAUUUCCUCUUGAGGAAAAAAAAGAAAAUCUUUUCCUGGAUUAUAAUUA